GAUCCUGGCUCAGGACGAACGCUGGCGGCGUGCUUCAUACAUGCAAGUCGAACGAGAAGCUGACUUCGGUCAGUGGAAAGUGGCGGACGGGUGAGUAAUAUGUAGAGAAUCUGCCCUUGAGUGGGGGACAACAGAGGGAAACUUCUGCUAAUACCCCAUAUGAGCUAACUUGAAAUAGUUAUCUUGAAAACUCCGGUGCUCAAGGAUGAGUCUGCAUCUGAUUAGCUAGUUGGCGGUGUAAUGGACCACCAAGGCGACGAUCAGUAGCUGGUUUGAGAGGAUGAUCAGCCACAAUGGGACUGAGACACGGCCCAUACUCCUACGGGAGGCAGCAGUAGGGAAUUUUGCGCAAUGGGCGAAAAAGCCUGACGCAGCAACGCCGCGUGAACGAUUAAGCCCUUCGGGGUGUAAAGUUCUGUCAGUAGGGACGAAUUUUGACGGUACCUACAGAGGAAGCACCGGCUAACUCCGUGCCAGCCGCCGC
rnacentral:rRNA from 1 species